CCUACGGGGGGCUGCAGUGGGGAAUAUUGGACAAUGGGGGGAACCCUGAUCCAGCCAUGCCGCGUGUGUGAAGAAGGCCCUCGGGUUGUAAUGCACUUUCAGUGAGGAAGAACGCCUGGUGGUUAAUACCCAUCAGGAAAGACAUCACUCACAGAAGAAGCACCGGCUAACUCCGUGCCAGCAGCCGCGGUAAUACGGAGGGUGCGAGCGUUAAUCGGAAUUACUGGGCGUAAAGCGCGCGUAGGUGGCUUGAUAAGCCGGUUGUGAAAGCCCCGGGCUCAACCUGGGAACGGCAUCCGGAACUGUCAAGCUAGAGUGCAGGAGAGGAAGGUAGAAUUCCCGGUGUAGCGGUGAAAUGCGUAGAGAUCGGGAGGAAUACCAGUGGCGAAGGCGGCCUUCUGGACUGACACUGACACUGAGGUGCGAAAGCGUGGGUAGCAAACAGGAUUAGAUACCCGGGUAGUC
rnacentral:rRNA from 1 species